AACACAGCCAGGAGUGAUGGACAACCUUUUGGGGCUGAGUCAGUCGCAUGCCUCCCUAGAAAAGAUUUCUUUGAAUGCACUUAGCUGUGAAAGGAAGACACACAAACAUUCAAGUGCUGAGAUUAUGUCAGAGACAAAUACAGAAGCAGAUUCAAGAACAGCUUCAGAACAAACAAAAAAUGUAGAUUGAUACCAUAGCAGAGGGAAAGAGAAGAAAUGAAUCUGAAAAAGAGAUGAAAAGAAGGCAGUGAAGACACAAAUCAAAACUCACAGUAUCAGAAAUGAGCAGACAAGAAG
rnacentral:lncRNA from 1 species